rnacentral:rRNA from 1 species
GUACGGGAGGCAGCAGUGAGGAAUAUUGCCCAAUGGAGGGAACUCUGAGGCAGCAACGCCGCGUGGACGAUGACGGCCUUCGGGUUGUAAAGUCCUUUUCUGUGGGAAGAUGAUGACGGUACCACAGGAAUAAGUCCCGGCUAACUACGUGCCAGCAGCCGCGGUAAAACGUAGGGGGCGAGCGUUAUCCGGAUUUACUGGGCGUAAAGCGCGCGCAGGCGGCUGAUCAAGUUGGACGUGAAAGCUCCCGGCUUAACUGGGAGAGGUCGUUCGAGACUGGUCGGCUAGAGGCCAAGAGAGGAGAGCAGAAUUCCCGGUGUAGUGGUGGAAUGCGUAGAUAUCGGGAGGAAUACCAGUGGCGAAGGCGGCUCUCUGGCUUGGAACUGACGCUGAGGUGCGAAAGCGUGGGGAGCGAACGGGAUUAGAUACCCCGGU